AACGAACGCUGGCGGCAGGCUUAACACAUGCAAGUCGAACGCCCCGCAAGGGGAGUGGCAGACGGGUGAGUAACGCGUGGGAAUCUACCCAGUUCUACGGAACAACUGAGGGAAACUUCAGCUAAUACCGUAUACGCCCUACGGGGGAAAGAUUUAUCGGAAUUGGAUGAGCCCGCGUUGGAUUAGCUAGUUGGUGGGGUAAUGGCCUACCAAGGCGACGAUCCAUAGCUGGUCUGAGAGGAUGAUCAGCCACACUGGGACCGAGACACGGCCCAGACUCCUACGGGAGGCAGCAGUGGGGAAUAUUGGACAAUGGGCGAAAGCCUGAUCCAGCCAUGCCGCGUGAGUGAUGAAGGCCUUAGGGUUGUAAAGCUCUUUCAGUGGGGAAGAUAAUGACGGUACCCACAGAAGAAGCCCCGGCUAACUUCGUGCCAGCAGCCGCCGCGGUAA
rnacentral:rRNA from 1 species